rnacentral:lncRNA from 1 species
CUCGGGGUCUCCGCUCUGGUAAGCUUAUGCUCUCCUCUCAAGACGCAUUAAAGCUUUACUGCAGAAGGAUACGAAUGUCCUGUGUGGUUCUUGCCGGCGAGACUAUCGCGUGGGACAUGUGGUGCCGAAACCCGGGAACUUGUUAACAUCGCCGGCACCGCGGAGACCCCUCGGACGGGGCGGAUUCAGAACUGCAGGGUGGAUGAAGAGAAUCCCCUGUGGAUCCCGGAAAGACUCACCCGAAGAGCCCCUUCGGACCUUCAAAAGUCGGAACUCCACCCUCUCCCCGGGAGUUGAGAGCCACUAUUAUCCAGAUUAACUCCUGUCCUUGACGGAGAGAUUGUCAUCAUAGAUCGCUUCAGCUGUCUCCUAUUUUAAGGAAUGGGUGGGGAUGGGAUUGUUUGGUGCAGCCGUUUGCUGCGGAUUGGUGUUGCUUCUCUGGCUGGUCUGUAGGCUCAGGGCUCAAACUAAGAGAGACAAGGUGGUUAUCGCCCAAGCGCUUGUAGCUUUGGAACAAGGGGCUUCCACUGAUAUUUGGCUAACUAUGCUUAAGCAAUAGGCCGCUGGCCAGACAGCUCUUGCACACCCGGAGCCUAGGCUCAUUGCACAGGGUAGAGUGCCUGGCUUGAGCAGCCCAUGAGGGAUGUCGAGCAAGGCAUCGCACAGAGAGUUGCCCAGUAUGCAGGCUUCUCUGGGAGGCAUGUUGUCCUGCAUAAGGGUUGCCUGCCCUAGUCUCCCUUUCCCAGAAAAACGGCAGAGGACAGGUCGAGAGCACUUCGGGUCAAGCUAACAGCCUGAUGGCGACUCUUGUACACAGUCUUAAUGUUUGAUUGGGAAGGUACAACCUCUGCCUCUAUCCCUCAACAUAUGGGUGACCUAUUUGCUUGUAAAAAUAUGAAGCCUUAUCAUUAAUUAAUAAAAAAGGGGGAGAUGUAGGGAGCCGUCCCUGCAUUCUCCAUUACAAGAUGGCGCCUGCAUCCGGCAGGCACCGAAUGUAAACAAGAUUAUUGCGCAGGCGCUGGGUAAUUUUCCAUUCCUUGAUCUCUGCCUAUUCCGUGGCGUCAUAUGGCCAGAUGAGCUGCAGCCAAUCAUGGGGUGACACGUCCGAGGCGGCGGUUGCCAGCCUUUAUUAGGGGACGGGAUUCUUGGCUCGGGGUCUCCGCUCUGGUAAGCUUAUGCUCUCCUCUCAAGACGCAUUAAAGCUUUACUGCAG